ACUUUGUAAUUCAUUAGACCAUCAUCUGGCCCACUUUUUAUGCGAUUCAAUCGUUUAGCCUUUGUCUUCUUCAAACUCAUCUGAGAAAUUCAAUCGUUUCUACAGCUUCAUGUUCUCCUCUUCAACACAUAUUUUUUUUUGGCCAAUUCAACGUAUAUGUUCCUCAAAAAAAAUAAUCCUAAAGGCAUGAAUCGAUUUCCUUCCAAUCACCUCCCCACCUUAUAUAUUCCUCAUCUCUCUUGCUUCUCCCCUUCACCAAAUUCACGGAAAAAAGUUAUUAGAGCAAUCAAUGACAAUCCAAACUGAGUAAUCAACAGGAAAGGCCCCCUCCGCUCUGUUCUUUCCGUUUGUUUAGUCCAGGAUGUCAUAGAGGAGAACACCGAGAGGCAAAGCAAACAUGGAAGCAACGCUGCAGUUGCCUCAGUGUAAACAACGAUAGCUCCACUGACGAUGAAUUAGAUCUGUUCGGUGGUUCUGCUAAUUAUUUUAACGCGAAAUCCCUGCAACGCCUCUGAUCAUCUCAAGAGCUUGAUCCCAUGCGUGAGCAUCACUGAGAGGAGCGUAAAAAAUUGUAAAGAUGGACAAACCAGUGAAACGAAAAUACUCUUUCUUUGCAAGCUGGAUGGCUUUACUUUGGCUUGGAGAUACAAUACUGCCACUACGUUAUCAUACGGCUGCGUCACUUCACUUACAGAGUCUCUUUAUAUGUUGGAGCUAGCAGACUCUUUUCUGGUUUCAUGGACAAUUCUCUAAAUCAAAACAGUUCAUGCCAAUGAAAUUUCAGGUAAUAGAUUCUGAUAGAUUCUGAUUUCAGUUGUUCAACCUUCAAUGGUGCCUAUCUUGAGAAAGCAGUUGCAUACAAAGAUAAUUUCUCAGGCUCAAUGAAGAAAACAAAGUUGACCUUCUGAGAAAUCAUGCAAAGAAUUAGCAGUGAGGGAGCAACACUUUAAUUUGGCCUGCUGUUGAAAGAGCUUCAACGAACUGAUUUUUCGAAACUGCGAAGAGCUUAUUCCACAGGUCGGUUAAAGAUAUAAAUCAUGCAUUGCGACAGUUAUCCCUCUCGGUCACGUCGACAAUUAACUACUUUCUUCCUCCUUCAAUUCUUUGCUUGAAAGUUACUUCAUCUCCACUGCCCUGUUUUGUCUAUAUUUAGCUCUGAAAAAUCUUCUGCUUCUAACCUACAUCGGUGCUCAACUCGGCAUUAUCGCUAUGGAUUCACACAUUGCAGGUAAGGCCAAAAGGUAGAUAUAGAUCAAAUAAUCUUCAUCAUAUGUUGACAAGGUAUGUGAAAACCAGAGUUUUAAGUAGAUCCAACCAGUUAUGUUUUAAACCAUACAUCUCUUUAUUUUUGCAAGGAUAUCUCUGUAGAUUCGGAUCCGAGCCAAUCAUACGCUUUUGAAAUCUGUGGAGAGAUCUUACAAGAAAACUACAAGAUCUAGCUUAUACCACUUUCAAUGCAACAUUGUGGUGUACUCUUCAUGGUAGAGACCGGUUCUGAACUUACUCGGGAGCUUGCUCAUCAGAUUGGGGAGGAAACUAUCAAGUUUUCCAAGUAUCUAGGAUUGGGGUGCCUUCUAUAGUGGGUGGUCAGUCGAUUGAAGAACUGUGUUUUAAGAUGAUAACACAAGGGUGUGAAUAUUGUGAUUUCCACUCCUGGUUGUUUGAUUGAUACGGUAUGAUGUGGUCAGUCCGUGCAACGAUCUGAUUCUUGAUGAGGCAGAUCAGAUAAUAGACAUGGGCUUAAUCCUCAAGUUGUUGGUGUGUUAGAUGUUAUGGCUUCAGGAAAUUUGAAACCCUAUAACAAAGAAGAGCUGGACGAAGUAAUUGAGACAA